AUGCGUAUUCUGGGAAGCGCCUCCAAUUGGGGCGGACAGGAGUGAGACUGGGCGUGGCCCUUCUGUGAGACCUGGAAGGAUUUAUAACGACAGAACCCACUCACUGUGCUAUGGGAGAGUCCAGCUAGCCCAUGCAGAAAGACUACAUGGAGAGGCCACAUAUGGGUGCUCCCGUGUCAGCCCAGCUGAGGUCCUAGCCAAUGGUUGUCAACAACUGCCAGAUGUGUGAAUGAAGAUGCCUCUAAAUGACACCAGCCCUUGGAAUGUCUGUGUGGUGAGGGUGUUGCAAGAAGAACAUCGUUAGGCAGUUGCUGAGUCAGGAUGACCACAUUCACCAGCAGGAAAUCCUGGACACUCAGAAGGGCCCGGCUCUCAGAUGGCUCCGCCCAUGGGCUCCUCCGGCUUGUGUUCCUGGCUGCCCAGGAACCUGCUGAGCUCCUCACCUUCCCCAGCAGUGAGCUGCCGUCAGCACAAAGUCUUCUCGCACCAGGAACCCCCCACAAACGCUUGUUCUUCUGGCAGACUGGAUCUGAAGGAUAUUUGAGAGUCUCACUCUGUUGGCCAUGCUAGAGUGCA